rfam:Pseudonocardia sp. HH130629-09, complete genome.
GGCGUUUUUCGCCUCGGCGGAGCUCGACCGCCGACUGCGGUGAUCGUCGACUACAUCGACGCCCACAAGGGCCGGUUCGGGGUCGAGCCGAUCUGUGCUGUGCUGACCCAGCACGGCGCCACGAUCGCCCCG